GUGAAUUGCAGAAUCCCGCGAACCAUCAAUUCUUUGAACGCAAGUUGCGCCCGAAGCCAUUCGGCCGAGGGCACGCCUGCCUGGGUGUCGUGA
rnacentral:rRNA from 3 species